rnacentral:rRNA from 1 species
AAUGGGGGAAACCCUGAUGCAGCAACGCCGCGUGAAGGAAGACGGUUUUCGGAUUGUAAACUUCUGUUCUUAGUGAAGAAUAAUGACGGUAGCUAAGGAGCAAGCCACGGCUAACUACGUGCCAGCAGCCGCGGUAAUACGUAGGUGGCAAGCGUUGUCCGGAAUUACUGGGUGUAAAGGGAGCGUAGGCGGGAUGCCAAGUCAGCUGUGAAAACUAUGGGCUUAACCCGUAGACUGCAGUUGAAACUGGUAUUCUUGAGUGAAGUGCAGAGGUUGGCGGAAUUCCGAGUGUAGCGGUGAAAUGCGUAGAUAUUCGGAGGAACACCGGUGGCGAAGGCGGCCAACUGGGCUUUAACUGACGCUGAGGCUCGAAAGUGUGGGGAGCAAACAGGAUUAGAUACCCUGGUAGUCCACACUGUAAACGAUGAUAACUAGGUGUGGGGGGUCUGACCCCUUCCGUGCCGCAGCUAACGCAAUAAGUUAUCCACCUGGGGAGUACGACCGCAAGGUUGAAACUCAAAGGAAUUGACGGGGACCCGCACAAGCAGUGGAUUAUGUGGUUUAAUUCGAAGCAACGCGAAGAACCUUACCAGCACUUGACAUCCGACUAACGAAGUAGAGAUACAUUAGGUGCCCUUCGGGGAAAGUCGAGACAGGUGGUGCAUGGUUGUCGUCAGCUCGUGUCGUGAGAUGUUGGGUUAAGUCCCGCAACGAGCGCAACCCCUGCCAUUAGUUGCUACGCAAGAGCACUCUAAUGGGACCGCUACCGACAAGGUGGAGGAAGGUGGGGACGACGUCAAAUCAUCAUGCCCCUUAUGUGCUGGGCUACACACGUAAUACAAUGGCCAUCAACAAAGAGAAGCAAUACCGCGAGGUGGAGCAAAACUUCAAAAAUGGUCUCAGUUCGGACUGCAGGCUGCAACCCGCCUGCACGAAGUUGGAAUCGCUAGUAAUCGUGGAUCAGCAUGCCACGGUGAAUACGUUCCCGGGUCUUGUACACACCGCCCGUCACACCAUGGGAGUUGGUAACACCCGAAGUCAGUAGUCUAACCGCAAGGAGGACGCUGCCGAAGGUGGGAUUGACGACUGGGGUGAAGUCGUAACAAGGUAGCCGUAUCAGAAGGUGCGGCUG